CUAACAAACUUAAGAAACUGAGUUGACUCAACUUGUAUAAUUAAGUAUCUAGUAAGAGAGAAGUUUCCCAAAGUUCACUGAACUUCUUAGUCAAGUUGGCGCAAGCGCAUUGUUUCCUAACGUAUCAAGGGGACUUGUGGCAUUGCACGCUUGUCAGGAUGACAGAAGCCUUCCCUACCUGUAUGCAGCUGAGCAGAUGACCAUACAACAUCAUUGUCAAAGACUCUUCUGUUGCUAUGCAAUGUAAGCAGUGUCCAUGUAGAGACCCUCCUGACCCAUUACAGGCUUCAUCACGGUCACCAGGGAAAAUGCUGGCCUUGCCUCUACCCCCAGUGUGUGUGUAUUUUUAAGACUUCAGGAUACAGAUGCUGAGGAGGACUACUAGAGGCAUGAAAAUUGGAAUCUUGACCGUCAUUGAAGACGACCUCGUCAUGAAAGCACCGGACACUGUCACCAAUAUCGCCAUCGCCCUGGAAGAGACUGUUGUUCUACAGGACAUCAAGGAUCUUCCAUCUGCACUGGCCUACCUAUUCGGACUCUUGCAUGGCAUUAAUAUGUUACCCGAAAGAACUGAAAUAUACGUUCGAGGUGUUGCAAAAGAUUUUCCUGGGCCUUGAUGCUGGCAGUUGUUCUGCAAGAACGCAGUCUUUCAAGAUGAAGCUGCAUGCCCUUGGGGAUUUAACAUAGGGGUGCCAAUACUUAUGACCCCUGUAUUUUAAGAAAGAACAUUUAUUUAUUUAUGAUACAUUAUUCAUUCACAAAGAAAAUUG